rnacentral:lncRNA from 1 species
AUAUUACCGAUUUAUUUAUGUAUUAAGUUAGUAGGAUUUGGCUUACGUACAAGUUGGGUGGAUGGUCUAUUGCAGAAUGCAAGUUUGUACCCUUAUUUAUGAAGGGAUAUAAAGGAAGCAAUUUUUUCUCGUUGUGAGAGUGAAAAACUAAUUAGGCCCAACUAAAAUACCAAAGUUUUGAAAAAGUUAAAUUACAGAUCUAGUAUAGAGUACAAAAUUUUAGAGAGAGAA